rnacentral:rRNA from 1 species
GACGAGGGGGGCUAGCGUUGAUCGGAAUUACUGGGCGUAAAGCGCACGUAGGCGGAUUGGCAAGUCAGGGGUGAAAUCCCGGGGCUCAACCUCGGAAUUGCCUUUGAUACUGCCAGUCUAGAGUCCGGAAGAGGUGGGUGAAAUUCCUAGUGUAGAGGUGAAAUUCGCAGAUAUUAGGAAGAACACCGGUGGCGUAGGCGGCCCACUGGUUCGGAACUGACGCUGCGGUGCGAAAGCGUGGGGAGCAAACAGG